rnacentral:rRNA from 1 species
AUUGAACGCUGGCGGCAUGCCUUACACAUGCAAGUCGAACGGUAACAGGUCUUCGGAUGCUGACGAGUGGCGAGCGGGUGAGUAAUACAUCGGAACGUGCCUAGUAGUGGGGGAUAACUACUCGAAAGAGUGGCUAAUACCGCAUGAGAUCUACGGAUGAAAGCAGGGGAUCGCAAGACCUUGUGCUACUAGAGCGGCCGAUGGCAGAUUAGGUAGUUGGUGGGAUAAAAGCUUACCAAGCCGACGAUCUGUAGCUGGUCUGAGAGGACGAUCAGCCACACUGGGACGGAGACACGGCCCAGACUCCUACGGGAGGCAGCAGUGGGGAAUUUUGGACAAUGGGCGCAAGCCUGAUCCAGCAAUGCCGCGUGCAGGAUGAAGGCCUUCGGGUUGUAAACUGCUUUUGUACGGAACGAAAAGCCCUGGGUUAAUACCCUGGGGUCAUGACGGUACCGUAAGAAUAAGCACCGGCUAACUACGUGCCAGCCGCCGCAGUAA